rnacentral:rRNA from 1 species
UACGAAGGGGGCUAGCGUUGCUCGGAAUUACUGGGCGUAAAGGGCGCGUAGGCGGCACUGUUAGUCAGGCGUGAAAUUCCUGGGCUCAACCUGGGGACUGCGCUUGAUACGGCAGAGCUUGAGGAUGGAAGAGGGUCGCGGAAUUCCCAGUGUAGAGGUGAAAUUCGUAGAUAUUGGGAAGAACACCGGUGGCGAAGGCGGCGACCUGGGUCGACACUGACGCUGAGGCGCGAAAAGCGUGGGGAGCAAACAGG